rnacentral:rRNA from 1 species
GCUAAACGCGAAGAACCUUACCUGGGUUUGACAUGCAGAGGACGAUGUUAGAGAUAGCAUUUCUCCGCAAGGGGCCUUUGCACAGGUGCUGCAUGGCUGUCGUCAGCUCGUGCCGUGAGGUGUUGGGUUAAGUCCCGCAACGAGCGCAACCCUUGUCAUUAGUUGCCAGCAUGUGAUGGUGGGCACUCUAAUGAGACUGCCUGGGGUUAACCAGGAGGAAGGUGAGGAUGACGUCAAGUCCGCAUGGCCUUUAUGCCCAGGGCUACACACGUGCUACAAUGGUCGGUACAAUAGGCAGCGAAGCCGUGAGGUGGAGCAAAUCCUGAAAGCCGGCCCCAGUUCAGAUUGUAGUCUGCAACUCGACUACAUGAAGAUGGAAUUGCUAGUAAUGGCGAGUCAGCAACAUCGCCGUGAAUACGUUCCCGGGUCUUGUACUACACC